GUACAAGCCAGUGGUCUGGAUGCUCGUGGGUCCAAGUUAACUCUAAUCCUUAUCCUAGGAGCCAUUAGUCAGCACUGAAGAACUCUACUCAGGAAUCCACACUCCAGAGGUUCUCGGAGCACUUCACAUACAGUUAUGAAAACUAACACCAGAGAGCUUGUUAAUUAGGGGGCCAAGGAAAGGCUACCUCAAGAUGGGCUCACUCCGGAGGCUUAUGCUGAGAUUAUUUUGAAGCUGAAGAUUAUUUUGAGCUGAAGGAUGUCAGGACCAAAAUUCUCCCAGGUUUCUACUGCUGCUUCCAGUGUUACACAAGCUUUCUUCAGUAAGACUUUGUGAGUACAUGGCAUCCAUUUGCACUGAAUUCCAUUCUUACCCUCAUCCUCCUCAGACCUCCCCUAAAGUCCUCAAGGACUUGGGCCAUAGCCUAUAGCUGUUGUCUCCAUUUGGAUAUCUAACACCCUGCACAAACUUUUUAGCCCAACUUUUUAACUCAACUUCAUUGAUUUUAAGAAAUCAUUCACAUGGAUUAUCAGCUAGGGUUGCUCCACUUCCAAACUCCAACUGGCAUUACUCUACCUCCAAAUUCCUACAAUCUUCUGCCUCCCACCUCCCAGUCCCUGCUACUAAAUCUGCUGCCUGUGCUUUUGGUGACUCAAAAGUUUCUCAUCUUAUUCCUUCACUCAUCAUCCCCUUGACUCUGGCCUGCUUGUUCCUUUUCACUAUCUAGCCUAGAUACCAAUGAUCAGGAAUCACAAGCAUGUUCACACCAGUAUCUUCCAAAUUCUCAUUUUGGGAUCUCUCUGUGAGCUUGGUCAGCCAAUCCUUGAUUAAAGAAUGUGUGUUGGUUUAAUUUUUACUAAGUAGAAUUAUAGAAAGUAGAAAAACCAUGUUGAUGGUCAUCAUCAUUAUGUUUUUUUGUUGUUGUUGUUCCUCAGCAUUUUAAAUGAGAUACAUUUUUUAUUUUGAGCAGUGGUGUAUCCAAGCCUUUUGCAAUCCUUAAGCCACUGACCCACCCUGAGAAACUGGUCUUCUGUAAUUCAGCUUCCUCAAGCUUCCGGCAGGCACAAAAUGCCAGGUUCUUCUCUGAAUCAGUGAUUCUGUUCCUUUUGACACAAGUGUCAUUUUCUUACUUCUUUCUUUGUCCAACUCCUACUUAUCCCAUAAGGCCCAACUCAAAUGUUUCUCAUUCUCUGUUGCACUUUCUGACUCUCCUUUCCUCUGUGUUCUCUUUUUCCCUUUACACACAUGUUUUCCUUUUCCACUAAAUUAUGACACAGAAGCAGUUUGUUUUCAUUACAUUACCUCUUACCAUCUUUCCUUCUGCCUUAGUCCUCUCAAGUUUUACAACAAAAUAUAGACUG